AAAUAUCACGUUUGAUAUAUAUACAACCGGAAGGUCACUUCGGCUCCUCGAUCCAUAAUCACCAUUGUCCUCCCACGCAAGUCAUUUGGAACCCGAUGACUCUAUUUGGGUGGAACAUAAGAGGGUGAAUUGAGGAAGAGAAAAGAAGAAAUGGAAUAAACAUUUUUGGUAUAUUGGAAACCAAAAUCGGAAUGAGAAAACAAUUGGAAAUCAAGAAAUACUUAAUUCGACAGGGCUAGCUGCUGAGAGUCAAUUUCAAACUCAACCGAAUACAUGGGUGCGAAAGGGGUAUUGAAUUUGGGCCUUCUAGAAUCCUCAGAAAUGGCAUGGGUAAUACGUACAUUCAUCGAUAAUAAAAAAAUCAGUUGAUAAUAAAAAAUGUUUGAAGUAACUUGAAUAUAAAUUGGAAAUUACUUUUAUUUACGUGGCAAAUAAGAGAAUGGACCGCCGCAUGUCAUUAUGGUCACAACUGGAGGAGAUCGAUAUCAGUAAUUAACAUAUAUAUGAUAUAAGGGGAAUUGAAUGCACAUUGGAUUGCAAUUGAGGACUUUAAUCAAACACUCGAAGCGGGUGAUCGAUAAAUAUUGGUUUUAUCAUAUCAUAGUAUAAGUUCGACUCACAUUUUAUAUAUUGUUAUUGCUUUCUUGUUUUAUUAGAAUUGAUACCAGAUAUGUGUUUUGAUUACAGGUGUAUUCGGAUGUAUUUUGUGUUUGCAGUAAUAUAUAUAUAUAUAUAUAUAUAUAUAUAUAUAUAUGAGAUAUGCAUGUGUGGAAUUGUAGUUAUUAUAAGUGCGAUCGAUCGAUAAAAGAUACUACAACACGUAGUGAAAACAGAUCGGAAACUGAAAAUAGAAGAUCCAAGUUGCAAGUGAUGAUGAUUUAAAAGAUAUGAUUCCUUACCGGAGAAUGAACUUAUUGGUGAUCAAAUUGAAUAUGGCCGGUGGUUUGAUAUGUGUGUGUUUUGUCCUAUAUACAAGGUUAAUGAAUCUCAACGGAUAUAUUAUGUGUAAAAGUAUAAUUAUUUUGUGUGUGUGUUUUAAUA
rnacentral:lncRNA from 1 species